GGGGAUGGAUCACCUCCUUUCUAAGGAGAAUAAUUAGUACAAACCUGNACGUUCUAGUUUAAGAUAUUCUUAUUUGGUUUUGAGAGAUACAAGUCUCUCAAGUUUGUUCUUUGAAAACUAAAUAACACACAAUGAUAUAGAGAUUAAAUAUAAAAAGGUUUUUUCUGAAUAGUUAGAAAAAAGAUUUUACUGAUAAAUCGAAUAAAUAAACAAUAAACAGAUUAAACAGUUUU
rnacentral:misc_RNA from 1 species